CUCAAUAUCACCUGAGAAUCUGAAGCUCUCGUCGUCAACCGAUGACGAUUGCCGAGGCCGCUCGCUGGAGAAGCUUCAAACCGCUGCAAUUUUGACGUCUUUUGCCGCCACCGCUGGAAAUUUUUGGAAACCUAAAAUUGUGUGAGGCUGACAUAAGAGUGCCAAAGUAUGAAUUUAGCAAGCUUGCGGCUGCUACCAAUCUAUUCUCCGAAAUAUGAUUGGACAAGGCUGUUUUACCCACAGGAAGGACAGUUGCAGUUAAGAGAUGUUCUUCAUCACAAGACCAUUUCUGCUUCUUGAUCUUGAAUGUAAUGGAACAUUUGCACAUAGAUGAAGAGAGACGUUGUAGGUUUCAAUGGUCAGGACGCUUCAAAGUCAUAAUUGGAAUUGCAAAAGGAGUUACUACUAUUUAUCUCCAUCAAGAGUCAAGUCCGAAAAUGAUUCACAUGGAUCUUAACCCCGCCAAUAUAUUACUGGACAAUGAUACGAAGAACUAUAAUUUUGGCAUAAUUUUUACUCCCUCCGUCUCUCAAGAAUAUGCAAUCUUUGCUUUUUAAUAUAUCCCACAAGAAUAUGUAUUUUUCAAUUUUGGAAACUCUUUUCAAUUAAUGAGGCGGGAUCUAUUCUCCCCUAACAAACAAUACUGUAAUUAUUUUUUUCUCUCUCUCUCUCUUAAAUUACCAAUUUUGCAAA